rnacentral:lncRNA from 1 species
AGAUAUCAGAAAGUUAAAGUUUCUCUUGCUGCCACCAUGUAAGAAAGACCUUUUUACCUCCCACCAUGAUUCUAAGGCCUCCCCAGCCACAUGGAACUGCUUUCAUUUGAUCUCUUUUUGAAUCAGAAGACCCAGAAAACUUGGAUCCACUUCUGGCUCUGAUCCCUCUGGGCAGUGUGAUUUGGAUUGAGCAGAUGCUCUGGGUGCCACUCCAUCAUAUAUUGGAAACAGCAUUACUUUAUAGUAAAUCAUGACCAUGGUGUAUGACAAUGAAGUUGCAUCUGAAGCAGCCAGCACCCUAUGUGCUAGCUGGCUUUUAGACCAGGAGACUGUGAUUCUGUGGUCAGGAUCUCUUUAGGGAUGACUAAAUAUGUACUACUCACUAUCACUCACUGGAGCUGCAGACCCUAGUCUUAGAGUUUCACUUCUUAAAGACCUUCAUCCUUAUUAAAAUGGUAAUAUCCUUACUGUCA